rnacentral:rRNA from 1 species
AUGAACGCUAGCGACAGGCUAACACAUGCAAGUCGAGGGGCAGCACGGGAGUAGCAAUACUUGGUGGCGACCGGCGCACGGGUGACGUAACGCGUAUGCAACCUACCUAUCAGAGGGGAAUAACCCGGCGAAAGUCGGACUAAUACCGCAUAAAACAGGGGCACCGCAUGGUGAUAUUUGUUAAAGAAAUUCGCUGAUAGAUGGGCAUGCGUUCCAUUAGGUAGUUGGUGAGGUAACGGCUCACCAAGCCGACGAUGGAUAGGGGAACUGAGAGGUUGGUCCCCCACACUGGUACUGAGACACGGACCAGACUCCUACGGGAGGCAGCAGUGAGGAAUAUUGGUCAAUGGGCGGGAGCCUGAACCAGCCAAGUCGCCGUGAAGGAAGAAGGAUCUAUGGUUCGUAAACUUCUUUUGCAGGGGAAUAAAGUGCAGGACGUGUCCUGUUUUGUAUGUACCCUGAGAAUAAGGAUCGGCUAACUCCGUGCCAGCCGCGGC